UUCCUUAUCUGGGCACCAACUGCUUGAUGGAAAUUCUCUGCCGGAUUCACUCCAAAGGGGAUACCAAGUGGAUUCAAUCUGUGCCUAUCUGGGAACACUCACCCAGAUGACAGAUGUGGGUUACAAAUUGCUAAAUGAGACAGAGGGCCCACGGUUCCUAAUGUCUCACCCUCCCUUCCAUCUCUUCCUCAAGUCGUUAUUCACUUCCAAGGCUAAGGUGCUUUAUAUCAUGAGAAACCCCAAAGAUGUUCCUGUGUCUUGUUAUUAUUUUUGGACUACGUCAAAACUUUCAAAGAAACCAGAAUCACUGGAACAAUGUUUUAAGUGGUUCAUCCAAGGAAACGUGCCCUAUGGAUCAUGGUUCGAGCUCAUUCGUGGCUGGAUGUCCAUGAGAGACAGGGAGACCUUCCUGCUGCUGAGUUAUGAAGAGCUGCAGAAGCAUCACUCUGGAUUGUUCACACUUAAGGGACCAAGAAGCACCAUAGAGAAGAUCUGUCAGUUCCUGGGAAAGAAGCUCAAUCCAGAAGAACUGGAUUCCGUGCUAGAGAAUAGCUCUUUCCACGUCAUGAAACAAAACCAGACGUCUAAUUUUGAAAUAUUGCCUGAAACUUUAAUUACUAAGCAUUUCUCAAUGACAAGGAAAGGUAAAUGCUCUGGCUUCAGAAUGCAUGAGAUUACUUGGAGGGCACUCUUGUCUUUACUGCCAAGAGUCAAGGUGUUUGAACAUAUCAACUUUAGUCGUUCAUGGCCCAGAAAACUGCUCAUGUGCCCUUAUAUGAAAUACAUUUCCAUCUUACUUGUAUUAGCUGCAGGUACCUGGUGAAAGUUGAUUCAGUGUUGGAGAGGAGGGUGGUUUUGGAGAUGGUGGUGUCUGGGCUACUCCACUGUGACUUACCACAGAGAAUGGCCCUAUAGAAAAAGAUACCCAAAGAAAGAUCAAGUUGGAGAAGGUGGGGAGGAGGUCAUUUGCUAGGAAACAUCAUAAGGCCUCCUUCCUGUGAGGGAAGAUGAAUCACAUCAACACCCUUGGAUUCAGGCCUAUUGAAAAUGUCUAGUGCAAGUGAUGUGAGAACCUGUUUUUCCAAAAUUCCUCCAGCUAAUAUGUAUCUGGAAGGGUGAACCAUGGCAUAAAUCUACCAAAUGCUUCAAAAGAUACUCAAAAGGUCAGGUUUCCUGCACACAGUGCACAUGGAGCACAGAGGGAUAAAACAGAGGACUGGGCUGGGGAUGUCACUCAGUGGGAGAGCAGAGUAUAGCAGAAGAAAUCAGUGAAGAUUGUCUGGUAAUGAAGAUAACAAUGAAAAUGUGAGUAAGAGUGAGUGUUCAUAGGACAGCAGUCACAUGUUUGACACUCUGUUACUUUAUAUUCACAUGACUAUAGGGUUUACAUGCAUAGGAUAUAUUAGCUUACAUAUUGUUACAUAUUUUAUUAAUUAAUUAGAUUGGUCUACUAUGUGAAAAUUUAUAUGAUACAUAAAAUAAUACUGUAAUCACAUAAGUACAGGGCAUGACCAAUACCCUUAUCCCCAGCUUCCAUUCCUCCCCCACCAUUUUCUCAAUGUUAACCCCUCUAGGGCUUCCUAAAUCCUUAUCUGUAAAACAGGGUAUUAUGCUGAUAUAUUACUCAUUAAUCAUUAAUCCUUUCAAUGAUUAUUAAUUUAACCUAUAUUCUUUGAAGCACUAGAUCUUAGGUAAUUUAUGAAAAAAGUGUUGACUUCCUAAUAUGAUAGGAAUGCAUACUUAGGCACAUUCCAAAAGGUAACACAUACGACAUGUCAUAGUCGAUCAUUCCUGAUAAGUGUACAAGGAUGGAGAGGCACAGUUCUGAACUGAGGACCUCACUGAGUAACUGCAUUGCAGUAAAUGUUUGAAUGAGGCAAAAGGACAAGAAGUGAAUAUGUCCACCAGGACAGCACUCUGGGGUGAGGUCAUGACAUGAGAAGAGCCCCCAGAGGGGGAGCCUGGCAUGUUUGAAGCUGGGUAGCCACAGGGGUGGGUCUGAAACAACAAGGACACUAUACCUAGAGACUCAAAAGCAUGCAGAAACUUAGCUGCAGGAAAGUGGAAGUCCUGGGAGACUCUGAGCCGUCAGUGACUGAAGCCACUGGACCUGGCAAUGGAACAGCAUGGGCGCCACAUGCAGAACACCUUCUAAUAGAGAAUGGCCAAAAGCGGAGAGAUUCAUCAUCUGCUGUGAUCACCCAGGCAUCUGUGGGGACUGGAAGAAUCACUUCACAGUGGCCCAAGCUGAAGCCUUUAAUAAAGUAUUCCAAGAGAAGAUGGAGGUUUUCCCAAAGAACUGUUCCCAUGGGAAUAAUGUCCCAGAGACUCUGGAUCUUCUAUGGAUGCUGAUACUUGUUGUCCUGUCCUGGAACAGUUGGAGGAUGGGGGACGGGUUCUUUGCAUAAAACCCACUUCUACAUGAAAGGGGGAGGAAAAGACAGGAUGGCAUAAAGAACCAAUGAAAUAUAAAUUACUAGAUAAGCAGAAGGAAAUCCAGUCAAGUAGAGAAGGAGAAUGGGAGAGGGGAGGGGCAUGGCAGGGAAAGGGCAAGCAGGGACUGUAAUGGAUUUCCAUGCAUGAAUGAGUUUUUCUGGAUAAACCCAACUGCUAUGUAUAAUUAUUACACUCUGACAAAAAAAAAAAAACAAAACCAAAAACAAACAAACAAACAAAAAAACUAUGUCUUCACUCUGGAACCUUGAAUCAUACAUUUUUGUUUCUCU